rnacentral:rRNA from 1 species
AUGCUUGGAACAUUGGAGAAAAUAUGGAAAAAUAAUUCGACCUUGGCUUGGAAUCUGUACAAGCCUAUUGAUAUGUUCCCAUUUCGAGUUUUGGAGAGAUGUGCAUAUCUUGGCAAGGGUUUGUAUAUUUUAGAUGUGGCCAAGGGAUCACCUGUCGAUGUAGCUGGGCUUUGUGUUGGUGACGUUUUGGUCGAAUAUGCGGGAGAAGUUAUCUGUACUGCUCCAAAGUUUGGUGCAAUGUUGAUGGAUAUGUGUGAGGAACAAGUCGAGGCAGAUACUUUAAGAAGCAAAGUGACUAUUGAGGUCGUUUUAAGGAAUGAAGGAGAUGGCAGCAUAGCAAGGAAGACGUUGCAUGCUGAUGUUUUAAGCGAGUUCAAUUACUAUAGAUGGCUAGAUCCAUUGCCGAACUACAAUCGCAGUGUUUAUGCUAGAGAACAGUUUAUGGAAUUAUAA